rnacentral:rRNA from 1 species
CGUAGGGGGCAAGCGUUGUCCGGAUUUAUUGGGCGUAAGGCGCUCGCAGGCGGUCCGAUGCGUCGUGCGUGAAAGACCCUGGCUCAACUGGGGGGUGUCGUGCGAUACGGUCGGACUGGAGGCCAGUAGGGGGAUGCGGAUUUCCGGGUGUAGUGGUGGAAUGCGUAGAGAUCCGGAGGAACACCAGCGGCGAAGGCGGCAUCCUGGACUGGUCCUGACACUCAUGAGCGAAAGCGUGGGGAGCGAUCCGGAUUAGAUACCCGGGUAGUCCACGCUGUAAACGAUGCGUACUAGGUGUCGGGGGUAUCGACCCCCUCGGUGCCGCAGCUAACGCGAUAAGUACGCCGCCUGGGGACUACGGCCGCAAGGCUA